AGCAGCCGCGGUAAUUCCAGCUCCAAUAGCGUAUAUUAAAGUUGUUGCAGUUAAAAAGCUCGUAGUUGAAUUUCGGGAUUAGUACGUUGGUCGUGCCUUCGGUACGUACUGGUGUUACUGAUUCCUACCUUCUGACGAACCAUCAUGUCAUUAAUUUGGUGUGGUGGGGAGUCAGGACUGUUACUUUGAAAAAUUAGAGUGUUUAAAGCAGGCUCGCGCUUGAAUACAUUAGCAUGGAAUAAUGAAAUAGGACGUUGACCCUAUUUUGUUGGUUUCUAGGAUUGACGUAAUGAUUAAUAGGGAUAGUUGGGGGCAUUAGUAUUCAAUUGUCAGAGGUGAAAUUCUUGGAUUUAUUUAAGACUAACUACUGCGAAAGCAUUUGCCAAGGAUGUUUUCAUUAAUCAAGAACGAAAGUUAGGGGAUCGAAGACGAUCAGAUACCGUCGUAGUCUUAACCAUAAACUAUGCCGACUAGGGAUCGGAUGAUGUUAUUUUUAAUGUACUCAUUCGGCGCCUUACGG
rnacentral:rRNA from 1 species